rnacentral:tRNA from 1 species
AUAUUUUAAAGAAAAAUCCACCUUAAUGUCUUCAGCAUUAAACUCUAAAUAAGCUAUUAAAAUA